rnacentral:tRNA from 10 species
AAACUUAGGAUAACACCCACCUAAACCGAAG